rnacentral:rRNA from 1 species
GCUUGUCUCAAAGAUUAAGCCAUGCAUGUCUAAGUGUAAAUACGUCUACACUGUGAAACUGCGAAUGGCUCAUUAAAUCAGUUAUCGUUUAUUUGAUGGUCCUUGCUACUUGGAUAACCGUAGUAAUUCUAGAGCUAAUACAUGCAUAAAACCCUAACUUCUGGAAAGGGUGUAUUUAUUAGAUGGAAACCAAUGCGGGGUAACCCGGAAUAUGGUGAUUCAUAAUAACUUUCGGAUCGAUUUAUCGAUGCAUCAUUCAAGUUUCUGCCCUAUCAGCUUUGGAUGGUAGGGUAUUGGCCUACCAUGGCUUUAACGGGUAACGGAGAAUUAGGGUUCGAUUCCGGAGAGGGAGCCUGAGAAACGGCUACCACAUCCAAGGAAGGCAGCAGG